rnacentral:misc_RNA from 2 species
CUGCGAGUUCGCGGGAGAGUAAGUUAUUGCCAGGGUUUUUAUUUUAUACUUUAAACAUUGAUUUUAUUUUUUAUGUUUUUAGAUGUUCAUGUUUUUGAAUGUUUUAUUUAAAUAAUAUAAAAAAUAAAAUAUAUAUUGACAUGGAUUAAACAAAGAUAUAUAUUAUUCUAUGUUGCAUAAGCAAAUUGGCAAAAUAGAGAUGGAAGAUAAAAAUAUGGUCAAAG